rnacentral:tRNA from 1 species
CGGGGCGUAGCGCAGUCUGGUAGCGCGCUUGGUUCGGGACCAAGAGGCCGGCAGUUCAAACCUGCCCGCCCCGA